AAAAAGGUGAAAUUUCUCCCUACCCAUUUUGAAUUCGAUUUUGAGCCUAUCUGUGGCCAUAUCGGAGAAAGAGGGAUGAUAGGUGAGCCAAAAGCUACGGACAAAGCCUGGUGAAGCCGUUAUGGCCAAAACCCAAAAAUCCAUCCGAUGAAUCCCUUCCCGCUUCCCAUUUUACGUAAUUUUUUGAUCAUUUUGUUUACCAUCUUUUCCUAUGCAGGUUAACCAAAGAAGGAACCCUAGCCAUGAAGGAGGACCGGCGGAGCUGCCGUAUCCAGAGACCCCCUUACUAGUAGGUUCAGUUUUUUAUAAUUUUUCAGUCAACCGAGACCCUUUAACGUUUUUUUUUAUUGGGAUACGUGUAAAACUAGCCAAAACCGAUCGAAGCCCACCAAAAUUGGCUAGGCAGGGGUAAACUGCCGCUAUAGGGGGCGGAG
rnacentral:lncRNA from 1 species